rnacentral:rRNA from 1 species
AAACUUUCAACAACGGAUCUCUUGGUUCUCGCAUCGAUGAAGAACGCAGCGAAACGCGAUAGUUAAUGUGAAUUGCAGAAUUCAGUGAAUCAUCGAGUCUUUGAACGCACAUUGCGCCCAUAGGUAUUCCUUUGGGCAUGUCUGUUUGAGCGUCAUUA